AUGCAAUUGCAACAUAUGAUGUGCUCCCAGGAAAAACCGCGAGUAGAUGAGAGAGGUUCAAGCAGCAAACAGCUCCAGGGCAAACCCGAGAGUGGGAAAGAACUUUUCUGCUCAAUAAGGCUCUUACUUCUCAUUUGCAAACUUCCUGGACUGCACAUAUUUGAGGACUCAGAGAGUCACCGACUUGCCUGUGGUUGCUAUGAGUCGCCUACAGAACUGAAAAUGGGAAGCAGAACUAGACUGGCUGUACUUCUAACCACAAGGACACUCUCCUUCUCAAAUGAAAAGGCUCUAAUUAAAAGGCAGGAAAGAUCAGAUAUCUCUGGAGUUCACUGUUAAAAUUGUCAAAAAAAACCUCAAAGUUGCUUUGCUUCUGACUAUUCAUACACUGGAAGACUAAUUAACUAUGACAAGCUGACCAGUGGAGACCAUUUUCAUAAGGAUGACACAAUGAUGGAUGGGUCCAUGCUGUUACAAUGUCAUUGCUAAAAAAGACGUAAUGAGUCCAAGUUCCAAUUACUAAGAUACAUAUACAAUACAGAGGUCUUUUUCAAGCCACAGAACCCCACUGCAAUGAGCUGACGUGUCACUUUUUCUGUAUUUAAGAGUCACAUUCAUGGGCCGGUGACAUACUGAGCUAUGCAUGCUAGGCCUUCUCUGCGUCUGGCAGCUGGAACGAGACCCAACUCAAUCUUGUUGCUUCAGGGCUUUGGGUACCAAAUGAGGCAUUAGCACAAUAGAAACACCCAACCCAGAGCAGUGUUUUCCCAUCUUCAGACUUGGAGGCCAAGAGGCCAUAGCAAGGACAUUAUGUAGAUAUUUAUAUAACCAUUUAAAACAUAACCACUCAAAAAUGUCAAAACCAUUCUUAGCUUACUGGCUGUAAAAAAGUAGGCAGCUGGCUGGAUUGGGCCCAUGGGCUAUAGUUUGCCAACCCUUGCCUCAAAUAAACAAACUUGUUAGAUUUCUCACUAGUGUUAUAUUUCUGCAGCUAAAGUUCUCUUAGUUACAGAAAAUUUCUCUUAGGUACAGAAAAUCUGGUCACAAGAAGUUUGAAAAAUAAACUAACAUAAAAUUAU
rnacentral:lncRNA from 1 species